rnacentral:lncRNA from 1 species
CCCCCGGGCUGUCCGAUUGGCUUCCUCAAGACGUGAGCACGCCACGAUCAGCUGAUGGGCGGCCCGUCGAUCCGAGCCAUUGGGCCAGCGAAGAUAGGGCGAAGGGGCGGGAGGGAGCCAGGAGAGCCGGGCUGGGGGGAGCAGGGAGAUAGGAAAACAAGAGCCAGCUCCUGCUGGGCCGGGGGACCCCGCCUUCUCCAGCAGGGAGAGGAAAACAAGCUCAGCGCAGCAGCAGGGGGAGAAUGAAUUGCCUGCUCCGGCACACUGGCUCCUUUGUGCGUACCCUGGCCCCCUCUGCCGGAGCCCUGCGAGCCGAGCCCGAGAGCGGUGUGGGCCGGUUCCCACUGUGCCCCGUUUCAAAACAAAGGAGGCACCCCAGAGACAGCGGCCCUGGGACUCUGCCGCCCGAGGAAGAUCCUGGCUCCGCAGAGAGGAGGGGGGAUGGAGUCUGCAGUGACUAGGAAUUCAGGGCUGACAUCCUAGGACUCAGGAUGGCAGGGAAGUGCACAGCGGUCUGCAGUGAAGAUGCAUCAGGAAAAUUCUAGCUCAGAUGGCUAAAGCAUCUCUGAAAUAGACAAGUAAGUUGCAAAUGAGCUCAGUUUA